rnacentral:rRNA from 1 species
UACGUAGGGGGCAAGCGUUGUCCGGAAUCAUUGGGCGUAAAGAGCGUGUAGGCGGCCCGGUAAGUCCGCUGUGAAAGUCCAGGGCUCAACCCUGGAAUGCCGGUGGAUACUGCUGGGCUCGAGUCCGGAAGGGGCGAGUGGAACUCCUGGUGUAGCGGUGAAAUGCGCAGAUAUCAGGAAGAACACCGAUAGCGAAGGCAGCUCGCUGGGACGGUACUGACGCUGAGACGCGAAAGCGUGGGGAGCAAACAGG